GGUUCUUUAGCUCAGUUGGUUAGAGCAGACGGCUCAUAACCGUCCGGUCGAUGGUUCGAGUCCAUCAAGAACCA
rnacentral:tRNA from 1 species